UGGGGUGUCGUCUAAAGGUAGGACACCAGGUUCUGGCCCUGGCGGUUGGGGUUCGAGUCCCUACACCCCAG
rnacentral:tRNA from 1 species